UACGAAGGGGGCUAGCGUUGCUCGGAUUGACUGGGCGUAAAGAGCGUGUAGGCGGCCAGGUAGGUCGGUUGUGAAAACUGGAGGCUCAACCUUCAGAGGUCGACCGAAACCAUCUGGCUAGAGUCCGGGAGAGGAGAGUGGAAUUCCUGGUGUAGCGGUGAAAUGCGCAGAUAUCAGGAAGAACACCCGUGGCGAAAGCGGCUCUCUGGAACGGUACUGACGCUGAGACGCGAAAGCGUGGGGAGCGAACAGG
rnacentral:rRNA from 1 species